rnacentral:lncRNA from 1 species
UCACGACUGGGUUGUAAAUCUUAUAAGUUUCAAUCCUAAAUAAAAUAUAAAUACCCUAGAUAUGACCUAAACCUUCUCAAAUAUCCUCUAAAUAUCACCAAAUCCUUUCUGUUAUCAUUCUAUCUUUUACCCCUUCUAUACAUGGAGAAAAAAGAAAAUAAAAACUAACUAAUCAACGCUCUAUCUCGUGGAAUAAGAGAUAUCAAAUAACUUAUGUUCCUUUUCCUCUCCUAAAAUAAUUCUGUUAAGAUUCUAUCUCCUAAUAUUUCCUUUACCCAG